rnacentral:lncRNA from 1 species
GCCAAGACAUCACAAGCAAUAUACAAGUCCAGCGCACAUAGCCUUGUAAACAUUUUAUUGAGCAAUACAAAUGCUUUCCAGUUUCUGAAUCCAGCAACAAAUUUGAGUGUGAGGCUGACUUAGGGCUAAGAGAGUGCGAAUUUGGCGUCUAAGGCUGCACGACACACCGUGGGUCAAAACCGGGCCGUGACACUAGUAAGCAUUUCUUUGAUCCAAUAGGAUCUGAAAAUCCUAAAAUUAUAAUUUUACUCUUUAUGCCUUUCCUAAUGUUGUCAGCUAUUUUGAGUUGGAAAAUACUAUCUAUUUUGCUAUUUGAUUUGUCAUUAAUAAUGAAAUUAUCAAAAUACACUAGAAAUACAUAAAAUACUCAAAUUAUAACAAAACAUACAUAAUUUAAAGGACUUGAACACAUAACAAUAGAAAUGUUAGUGAGACUUGGAGCACAAAAUAAUAAUUUUACCCUUUAUAAAUAUGUAUUCUCCACUACUUAACAACAUUAGAAAAAGAAUACUUGAAGAGCAUUGUUGAUAUGGUUUUGUCCAAAGACUUUCAGGUAUGUUUAAAGUUCUAAAAGUUGGAUAAAAUUAUUGAGUACUUGUAAACCAUUUUGAUCAAUAUCCGUUUUUUGCAAGAACCAUGGAGACUUAUCUAGUGUGUAGAUAUUUUCUAUGUACUUAAUGUGGGUAGGUGGUAGGUGGUAGUUGUGCAAUAACUUACUCCU